rnacentral:lncRNA from 1 species
GAGAAGCACAUGGAAUUUGUGUCCAACAUCCUAUUAAAUGAUUCCGUGCAAGAGAGUGCUUGGAGGAAAGAGACCUGGGCGGAGGGAUGAGGAGAAACGCGGCAAGGAGGAAGGAAGGAAGGAAGGAAGGAAAGGAGUCCCAGCCAGCGCCUCAACUUUGGCCUCCCUGCCUACCCUUGAGCCGGUCUGGGCUCUGGUGGUCCAGCUCAUAGGCAAGGAAGCAAACAAGUGACCAAUUUAUAACAAGUGCUCAAUGUAUGGUUGUUGGACAAGUGAGUGAAUCCAAAAGCAUUACUCCGUCUACGAGGCAUGUGUCCACUUCUGUCUGCAAGACUGUCCUGACACCGAGCUCCUUUCACGAGAAGUGGGAAGUGAGAAGUGGGGAACUCGGCCCAAACUGACUGGUGAUUUAGGCUAAAGUGUCGCACCGCUGAUGGUCCUCCAGUGCUGGGAGCAUGGUCCACACUCCCCACACACGGAUUUCAAAACCCGCCUAAGUUCAAAUAUGUUCAGACAGGAUGCUGAUUUUGGAUGUUGC